UGGAUCUCAAAUCAGACAAGGCGACCCGCUGAA
rnacentral:rRNA from 1 species